CCUACGGGUGGCAGCAGUGGGGAAUAUUGGACAAUGGGCGAAAGCCUGAUCCAGCCAUGCCGCGUGUGUGAAGAAGGCCUUCGGGUUGUAAAGCACUUUCAGUGGGGAAGAAAUCCUUGGGGCUAAUACCCUCGAGGAAGGACAUCACCCACAGAAUAAGCACCGGCUAACUCCGUGCCAGCAGCCGCGGUAAUACGGAGGGUGCGAGCGUUAAUCGGAAUUACUGGGCGUAAAGCGCGCGUAGGCGGUCUGAUAAGCCGGUUGUGAAAGCCCCGGGCUCAACCUGGGAACGGCAUCCGGAACUGUGAGGCUAGAGUGCAGGAGAGGAAGGUAGAAUUCCCGGUGUAGCGGUGAAAUGCGUAGAGAUCUGGAGGAAUACCAGUGGCGAAGGCGGCCUUCUGGAAUGACACUGACGCUGAGGUGCGAAAGCGUGGGUAGCAAACAGGAUUAGAUACCCCAGUAGUC
rnacentral:rRNA from 1 species